CCACGGAGUGGCUCUCUCCUUGGUGAGGCAGCCAUAAUUGCUGUCACUUCCUGCAGAGCCGAGAAGCGCUUUUUUGGGGGGCUCUGAGGUGGUUUCCCCUCGAGGCCUCUGGAGGAUUUUGGCGGCGUGCCAGAGCCAGGUCCAGCUCGGAAGUGAAUGUCAGAGACAGCGAUAGAAGUCGCCGUCAUGUCGCGCGGGUUAAGUUCAUCUCCUUCAGCUCAGCUGUCACCGUACGCCGCCACGUGUUCUUGGGCCGGCCCUGCUUCCUUUUCCCAGGUGGAGUCCAACGUAGUGCCAUCUUGGGGAUAAAGUCUUGGUCCAUCCUGAGGACAUGCCCAAGCCAUUGGAAUCGCCGGCAUUUGAUCUCUAGGACCACACUGCUGCACUUGGUCUUCUUGUAUAGAUGCGCUUUGGAUAUUUUCUCGGGCCAGAAGAUUCGACAUAGUUUCCUGAGGCAUCCAUUGUGGAAGGCUUCAACUUUUUUCAUGUCUUGGGAUGUUA